rnacentral:rRNA from 1 species
UACGUAGGCGGAAAAUUAAGUCAGUGGUGAAAUCCUACAGCUUAACUGUAGAACUGUCAUUGAUACUGGUUUUCUUGAAUGUAGUUGAGGUAGGCGGAAUGUGUAAUGUAGCGGUGAAAUGCUUAGAUAUUACACAGAACACCGAUUGCGAAGGCAGCUUACUAAGCUACGAUUGACGCUGAGGUACGAAAGCGUGGGGAGCGAACAGGAUUAGAUACCCUGGUAGUCC